ACAGUGAAUCAUCGAAUCUUUGAACGCACCUUGCGCUCCUCGGUGUUCCGAGGAGCAUGCCUGUUUGAGUGUCAG
rnacentral:rRNA from 1 species